UGUGAUUCAAACAACAGGCCCACCUCGUAAUAUGUAGCAUAAUGGAUAGCCUAGAGAGCAUGGUUUCAGACCUUCACAGAUUCAGUUGCAUGUUCUGUGUGUGUUUUUAUUAUUAUUGUUUCUUGUUGCUACACAUGACUACCACUUCACAGGGGAGCAAAGCGUGCCAACACCUCUGUCGUGCACCAGUGUUCUGCAGUCGUGGACCAAGGACACAGGUUUAUGUGUAUACCUCAGGCCUAGCCAAACAUCCUAUAGUCUACUCAAUAAUAGUAUUAGGAGUUCUUGUAUAUAGACAGACCCGACUAACACUGACUUAAGUGUUGCUACACUGACAAUAUGAUUUAUUUGCUGACAUUUUUUUCUUUUUGCUCCAGGGGAUUCGCUCCAGGGGAUUCGCCCGGAACCCACUGACCAACUUGUGGUCAGGAAACCCAAGGUUUGGGUUAGGUGUUUUAUUUUAACACAUACAUGGACACAUACCUCCUGAAUGCCAAGUAAACAUGGCCGAGGGACACACACAC
ensembl:lncRNA